AAAAAACAAUAAUCAGCUUAACUAUAAAUAAAGCUAGUUUGACUUAAACCUUACUUCACAGUCAUACUAUUGCCAGUGAAUAUCCCAAGAUGCUUCCAAUAGUCUUCGCCUUUGCCUUUAUUGGCUCAUGCUUUGCAGUACAGGAGAAGUCUUUUCUUGACUGGUAUACCCCUACUCCUCCAUUUAUUG